AUGGGUUUCUCGACACCCAACAUCUGGAUUCAGCCCAUCCUCCUCCACAUCUGUAUCGCUGUCCACUUUGACCAUCUCGUGUCCGCUUUGCAGUUCUCCAGGAUGUGGACUUGGGGUCUCCAUCUCCACAUCCGUGUUUCUCUGUGCAUUCUGGGUUAUUUGAUGUGGUUUUGGAUCCCUGCCUUCUGCACUCGAAGGCUCCUCAUCCACAUCUGUAUCGCUGUCCACUUUGACCAUCUCGUGCCCACUUUGCGGUUCUCUAGGAUGUGGACUCGGGGUCCGCAUCUCUGCAUCCAGGUUCCUCUGUGCAUUUUGGGUUAUUUGAUGCGGUUUUGGAUCCCUGCCUUCUGCACUCGAAGGCUCCUCAUCCACAUCUGUAUUGCUGUCCACCAGUGGGGACCGGCAUCUCAUUUUGGGUCCCUCAGCAUCUUGACCUCGGGUCUCCACACCUGGGUCUCUGUGGGUCAUUGCGUGGGGUUUUGGGCUGACAACAUCUGGAAGGAUGUUGUCUUCAACGUCCGUAUCACUGUCUACCACAAGCAUCCAGUUCUCCUUUUGGCAUCCGUCAGCAUCUGGGUUUGGAGUCUCCAGCUCAAUAUUUGGGGGUUUUGGUGCGUUUUGGGCCGUUUGAGGGGUUGGGAGGCACACAACAUCUGGAUUUGCUCUGUCCUCUUCCACAUCAGUAUCGCUGUCUACUGUGAGCGGUGGAUGUUCCUCAUGGGGGCCUUUAACAGCUGAAUGUGGGCUCUUCAUCUUUAUGUUUGAAGAGUUCGGGGUGUUUUCGGUCGUUUGAGGGGUUUUGGCCAGCCCAACAGCUGGAUUUGCUCCACCUUCCUCCACAUCUGUGUCACUGUCCACCCCGAAUGCCUGAUGUCCACGUUGGGGAUCCUCCACAGCUGAAUUUGAGCUCUCCAUCUCCACAUCCGUGUCACUAUCCACCACGAGCGUCUGGAAUCCAUUUUUCGAACUGCCAGCAUCUGGAUUUGGGGGCUUCAUCUCCACACCUGGGGCUUUUGGCACCCUUUGGGCCUUUCGACGCAUUUUUGGGCAUCCAACAGACGGAAGAACGUCAGCCUCCUCCACGUCCGUGUCGCUGUCCACCGCGAGCAUCCAACGCCCAUUUUGGGCACCUUCAGCACCUGGAUUUGGGCCUCGUUUCUCCACAUUUGGGUCACCACUUGCCUCCAGGGCGGCCUGGUGACGGUUAGGGUGAAAAAGAGCAGAUUUUGGGUGCAUCUCGUCAUCUGUAUCGCUUUCAAUGCCAAGAGCCACUGUGCUGCCUCCCAGGUGCUUCACAUCUGGAUCCACCUGCCCUUUUGGGUUUGGGGAGUGAUUUUGGGGCCGAAUGUCUGAAAUUGCCGUUUUGUUCCCCACAUCUGGAGCUGGGGUAGUUUUGGGACACAAACGGCGCUUUUUGGGUCCCCCGACGUCCGGAUCCAGGUGGGAUUGGGCCAAAUCUGUGCGGAGGCCCAGGGCUGGGGUGGGACGGCGCUUUCGGAGCACGCGAAUGUCUGGGCACACAUCUGGCUCCUCCGGGUCGCUGCGGGGGCAAAUAUUGGGGUACGGGGUCUGCAGAAGGGACCAAGGGGUCCAGACCCCUCCACAUGACCCUGGUGGGGUCCUACCUACCUCUCUGGCACAACUUGGGGUGAGGCGGUGUUGCCAGUGGUCGGGCCUGGAGGGGACACACAUUGUUAUUAUAGGGUCUACAGAAACCCCGGGGAGGGGGGGAGGUCCU
ensembl:lncRNA